rnacentral:sRNA from 1 species
UCCGGCGAGAAACUCAGCGGGCUGAAAG